AUGGAUGUUGAUCUCACCAUGGAUGUGGUGGCCCUUACCACUGCAUAUCAGAUGUGGGAGCACCUUCGCCAUCGCUAUGAGUCUACAGGGGAUGCCAUGUAUCUCUCUGUUGUUCGUCAAGAGCAACAACUACAACAGGGAGAUGCUACUGUGGAUGAUUUCUACAAGGAGAUGUCGGCGGUGUGCCGCCAAUUGGACUCUCUGGGAGCUGAUGUUUGUCGCAGAUGUCAGUGUUGUGUGCAGCAACAAGCUAAGCUGGAGGUUCGUCGCCUCUACGACUUCCUCACUCGCCUCCGGCCGGAGUUCGAGCAGAGUCGUGCUCAGCUAUUGGCACGCCAUCCUCGGCUCUCUACUCUGGAGGCCCUUGCUGAGGUGCGAUCUGAGGAGGUGCGCCUACAGAGCACGGGCUUAUUGCCAUCCUCUUCAGCAGUCCUGGCUGCCCGCGUUCCACCACCGCUGCCUGGUGUGCCCUCUUCUACACAGGUGGCAGCAACCUCCACUAGUGCUUUCUGCAACUACUGCAAGCAGGAUGGUCACAUGAUCACGGAGUGCACCAAGAGGAGGAAACAGGGUCGCCGUGGUGGCCGUCCUCAAAAGGACUCGGGAGGCUCCUCUAAUUCUCGUGAGGGCUCCCUUGAGAAGGUUCACCAGGAGAUGCUCACCUUGCUGCGCCGCCUUACUGCUUCUGCACCAUCCUCAGGUUCUGCUGGUUCUGCUGGUCAGACGUCUGGUCCACUACCGCACUCUUCGUCAGGAUCGUCGUACGGGGACUCUGGUUGGGAUCGGUCCUCGGCGCCAUGA
rnacentral:rRNA from 1 species